UGGUUAAGUUACUAAGGGCACACGGUGGAUGCCUUGGCGCUAGGAGCCGAUGAAGGACGCAGCGAACUGCGAUAAGCCUCGGGGAGCGGUAAGCACGCUUUGAUCCGGGGAUCUCCGAAUGGGGCAACCCACCAUCCGUAAUGGGAUGGUAUCCGUCACUGAAUCCAUAGGUGGCGAGAGGGCAGACCCGGUGAACUGAAACAUCUAAGUAGCCGGAGGAAGAGAAAACAAUAGUGAUUCCGUCAGUAGUGGCGAGCGAACGCGGAAGAGCCUAAACCGUCAGGUUUACCUGGCGGGGUUGUGGGGCGUCUCACAUGGAGUUACAAAAGACGCGCGUAGGUGAACAGUCUGGGAAGGCUGACCACAGAGCGUGACAGUCGCGUAACCUAAACGCGCGUCUCUCCGAGACCAACCCCGAGUAGCACGGGACACGUGAAAUCCCGUGUGAAUCUGGCAGGACCAUCUGCUAAGGCUAAAUACUACCUAGCGACCGAUAGUGAACCAGUACCGUGAGGGAAAGGUGAAAAGCACCCCGGGAGGGGAGUGAAAUAGUACCUGAAACCGUGUGCUUACAAAUAGUCGGAGCCCUAUACCACCCACAAAAGUUUUACUUUUGCGGGGCCCGGGAUGGGUGACGGCGUGCCUUUUGUAGAAUGAACCGGCGAGUUACGGUAGCGUGCGAGGUUAAGUCGAAGAGACGGAGCCGCAGCGAAAGCGAGUCUGAAUAGGGCGCAAGUACGUUGCCGUAGACCCGAAACCGUGUGAUCUAGCCAUGUCCAGGGUGAAGGUAGGGUAACACCUACUGGAGGCCCGAACCCACGCACGUUGAAAAGUGCGGGGAUGAGGUGUGGCUAGCGGUGAAAUUCCAAUCGAACUCGGAGAUAGCUGGUUCUCCCCGAAAUAGCUUUAGGGCUAGCCUCGGAAUGAAGAGUCUUGGAGGUAGAGCACUGAUUGGGCUAGGGGCCCUCAUCGGGUUACCGAACUCAGUCAAACUCCGAAUGCCAAUGACUUAUGUCCGGGAGUCAGACGAUGAGUGCUAAGAUCCAUCGUCAAAAGGGAAACAGCCCAGACCAUCAGCUAAGGUCCCCAA
rnacentral:rRNA from 1 species